UCUGUGCAAUGUAAGCUUAAGGUGGUUAAAGGUACCGGCUUUACCCAUAGGCAACGAAGGCAUGGCCGACCUGAGAGGUGAUCGCGCACAGUGGAACUGAGACACAGGUCCAGACUCCUACGGGAGGCAGCAGUAGGGAAUCUGUCCGCAAUGGGCGAAAGCCUGACGGAGCAACGCCGCGUGAGUGAUGAAGGUCUUCGGAUCGGUAAACUCUGGUAUUAGGGAAGACAUAUGUGUAAGUAACUGUGCACAUCGUGACGGUACCGUAAGUCAGAAGCCACGGCGUAACUACGUGCCAGCAGCCCGGUAUAUACGUAGGUGGCAAGCGUUAUCCGGAAUUAUUGGGCGUAAAGCGCGCGUAGGCGGUUUUUUAAGUCUGAUGUGAAAGCCCACGGCUCAACCGUGGAGGGUCAUUGGAAACUGGUAAUACUUGAGUGCAGAAGAGGAAAGUGGAAUUCCAUGUGUAACGGUGAAAUGCGCAGAGUAUAUGGUAGGAUACACCAGUGGCGAAGGCGACUUUCUGGUCUGUAACUGACGCUGUAUGUGCGAAAGCGUGGGGAUCAAACAGGUAUUAGAUACCCUGGGUAGUCCACGCCGUAAACGAUGAGUGCUUAAUGUUUAGGGGUUCCGCCCCUGUAGUGCUGCAGCUUAC
rnacentral:rRNA from 1 species